CUCCCCAAAACGUGGUCAUUUCCCCUCCAUCCCAAAAUCCUCAUUGCCUCGAAAGAAGAUAACCCUAGCUAGCCAAAAGCCCUGUGUGUGUUGUUGUUCUUCUUUUUCUACCUACUUCCGAGGUCUCUUCACUGCGCCGUUUUCUUUCCUCCCAGCCCCCACCAUCGCCGAGCUCAACUCAGUCUCUCUAUUCACUGUGUGCGCUCCUGGCCGUGGGUCGUCACUGAUUCUUUGCCUCCUCGCCAGGCUUGGUGUUGCUUCCCUGCGUUGCGUCAUGUCGCACCAUCACUACUUCGCGUCGUGUCUCGCCAUCGCUUCGUUGCCUGUCGCGUCAUGUCUCUGGGUAACUCUCUCUCACCGCGAGCUCACCCUGUUCCAGUCUUCUUGCAAGAUAUUCAGAAUACCCAAUCGGAAUCCCAGCAGAAGCGUUUGGGUUCUCAUCUAAAUAUAUUUUCAAGUUCAGCAAUACGGCAGGAGAAAGCUUGGAGGAAGUUAUGAGAAGUGAAACAUGGGAGGAGACUGGUAUUAAAGUGGGAGAAGCUCUCAGCCAUGACCUGGAUUCAAGCAAAUUGAAGAGAAGUGAUUGAAUUUAUCUGUGGGUCUUUUUUUUGUCGGCUUUGUUGCGAACUGGAUUUACUUUUGGUCAUGAUGAGUUCAUGAAUGAAAUAUUUAUUUGGGGAUGUUGUAAAAUAUUUUUGUGAUUGUAUAUCGGUGUUGACUUGAUCUGGAACACUAACUAGACAUGUAUUGGAUGAUGAUUAGCUUUUGUCUAAAUAAUUUAGGCCAAUGAUAAGGAUAUAAGGAUUCCUAUUAACAAGUUAUAUAUAUGUGAGCAUGUUGAACUUAUA